rnacentral:lncRNA from 12 species
GCCCUGACCCCGCGCGCUUCUGCCCCGCCGGUCGGCCGCGCUCCGCGGGCCCUGGGUCUCGGGGUGUGGGGCGGGCGGGCCCCGGGGCGCGUCACCUGCAGGAUCCGCAGACCCCUGCGCGCCUCUGCCCCGAGCCCGGCGGGCCACCUGGGCGGGGUGGGGACGGGGCGCAGGGGGCGCAGGGCCGCACAGCUGCUCGCACCCGGACCCGCCCCGCUAGCCCGGGCCCCUGCCAGCGUCUUUCCUUUCCUUUCCUGCCCUGAGCGUUGGUCCCCUUCCCACGCUUAAGGAAACCCUCUGAGCUCCCAGGAGGCAGGACUGGCCUAUUUUCAGUGAAGUCUUAGCUCAAAUGUGUCAGAGGGCCGCCCAGUCACCCAACACCGCGUCAUCCUAGAGUUGCAUCCAGGACCUGGAACAAGGCCCUUCGCGGACACGCAGCGUCCCUGCCUGGAUGCUCCUGGGAGGCCUGCCCAGCACGUGCUGCAAGCCCCGGCGCCUUCCGUGCGGGUGCAGGAUGCCUGGAGGAUGCCUGGCGGUCCCUCCAACGGACCGAGCCUAACGGGGGAGGGGGGGGGGCAGGGGCCUAGAAGGAGGACUCACUCCCUGGCUGUGCGACCUCUGCAGGUGCACAGGGCCUCCAGCUUAGAAGAGCCCUGCGCUUGGUUCCAUGCUCUGCUGUAGCUCUUUUGAAAUCCUUAAUGACUUUUCAAUAAGGAGCUCUGCAUUUCCCUUUUAUACUAGUCUUGACAAGACCUAUCGAACCUUCUCUGCCUAAGUGUCUCCUGCUUCCUGAUCUACAAGUGGUCCCUGGUCUACUGGUCCCUUAGAUCACACACCACAGAACAACACAGGGAGAUACGAGGUCCACUGAGUGAGGGAUAUUUUUAAAGCUUUUAUUUUCAUUUAUUUAUGAGACAUUGUAUCAUGUUAUAGCGCUACUCAGCUUUGAGGGAGUCACAGACCCUCUGGAGAACUUAAUAAAAGCUAUGAUCCAUUUUCCUGGGGAAAUACU